CAAUAUAUCCAAGUUUGAUUACAGUAUGAAAACCUAAAAUUAUUUGAUGGCAAUGUGUUUUUUAAUUCUUCUAGUCUAUCUUAUAACUAUUGAUGAAGUAUCUAACACAAUACAAGAUCUUUACUGUGAUCUUGGAUUAGGAGAUGAUAAAUCAUGUCCUAUAGAUGGUGGUUGGACUUCUUGGGGUUCCUGGAGUGUUUGUUCUGGAAAAUGUGGAUUUAAAGGUAAAAGGACAAGACAUCGUACUUGUAAUAACCCAUUACCUUCAAAUGAUGGAGCUCCGUGCAUUGGUCCUAGUUAUCAAAUUGAAAAUUGUCAAGUUAAUGGUUGUAGAAUGAAUGAUUACGAAGAAGUAGUAAGCAAUCAUCCUAUACGUAAGAGGGAAAUGGAAAUUGUAAAAGAAUUUCAUAAAGAAUUACCUGCUUUAAUUGAAUUGUGUUUCAUUUUUGAUUGCACUUUUUUGAUUGUAGAAAAGAUUCUUGGAAACAAUGCGAUGCUUUAUUGGAAUGCUAUGAACUGUGUCAAAUAUGAUGUUGGAUGUCCAAGGCCUGGAGGAUGGAGUACUUGGGAAGCUUGGUCACCAUGUACUGCAGUUUGUGGCAAAGGACAAAAAUAUCGUAUACGAAAUUGUAAUAGUCCAGUACCUUCCAAUUCUGAAUUGAUGUGUAAUGAUUCAGCAUUUGAAGUGAAGAGUUGCAUGGGAUAUAACUGCAAGAAACAUUUAACAGGAACUUGGAUUAAUUGGAGUGAAUGGAGUGCAUGCAACACAGAAUGUGGUAAUGGUAUUCAAAUAAGAAAACGUUCGUGUUCAGAUGCACAAAAUCUGCAAGGAAAUUCAUGUAAAGGUUCAACUAAAGAAAUAAAGGGUUGUUCAAUCAAUAAUUGUUUUAUAAAUGGGAUGUGGUCAUCAUGGACAGUCUGGACACAUUGCAGUUCAAGUUGUGGAAUAGGUACACAGUUAAGAAAUCGGAUGUGUAACAAUCCUUCUCCAAGUGGUGGUGGAAUGUCUUGUUCUGGUUCUGCUUCUGAAGUUCGUCAAUGCUUUUCUAAGCCGUGUUUAGUUAGAUCACAUGAGGUAGCAUAUUUCACAGAAAAAAGCAGUCUUCUUUACAAUAUAAAUGGAAAACAUUCGCGUUUACUUCAUAUGUAUCUAAGAUUUUUACCACUUUCACCUUUGGGUGUUAUCAUUUAUCGGUUUGAGAAUAAUUGUAAGGGAUCAAUAUGUGAUUUUAUAAAACUGUUUCUACACAAUGGAAAAAUAGUACUUUUGUCUCAAAUCUCUGGCUGUACUUUGAGUUUAAUUUAUGAACAUAAAUUGGAAGUAAGAGAAGUCUAAUAUAUAUGUGUCUAUGCAAGAGAAGUUUAAUGAAUAUUUUUUAGAUUGGACAAUGGCAUGUAAUAUUAAUUGCUAUUUAUGGGACACGUGGUAUGUUACGAGUUAAUGAUGGUCAUCACAAAGUUGCUAUCUUUUCAUGUAUCCCAAUAUCAUACAACCUGGAUCAUGCAAUGAAAGUGGGAGAAUUUCAUGGUCAACUACAAGAAAUUGCAAUUAAUUUUGCACCCAUAAAAUUUCAUAUAUUAAAAGAUAAAUAUAAUCAAAAACUUGUAAAUACUCCGU